CCACAACUCUGCUUCCUUGGCAGAGGCAGUGCUGUAGGCUGGCUGCUGAAUGACUAACCAGUUAUAUCAUUAACAUGCUCUGCUACAACUGCAGGAUUGCCCCGAAGAAAAACCAAAAUAAUUGGGUCCUUUGCAGUUAAACUUCAAGUCUGAAGAUCUAACCAGAGGAUUGAGCAGCUGGCAGGGUAGGCCUGAUACAGAACACAGCAAAAUUAAAAUGGUUUACUUUUUGUUAUUGUGUACCUUUUUGUUGUAGCUUGAAGAUGAAUAUCUGAAGCUCUGCAAGACAGAUUAAAGCACAGGCACCAGCAGUGCACGCAAAGAAUCUAUUCCCAGGACCAUGAAAGGAUGCCAAGCCAUUCUGCUUUCAAUUACGUAUGAAGUGACCAUUCAGAUGCCUUGACCAGCACACAAAGAGACUGAAACACAGCAUGCAGUACACAAGCAAAAUGUCCAUCCAAGCAGACCACAAAUCAAGAACUACACACACCUGGCAAGUGUUGGCCAUCUACAUGGCCUUAGCUGCAAGCCUCUCCG
rnacentral:lncRNA from 1 species